rnacentral:rRNA from 1 species
GCUGCUACCAUGCAGUCGACGGUGACACGGAGCUUGCUCUGUGGGAUCAGUGGCGAACGGGUGAGUAACACGUGAGCAACCUGCCCCUGACUCUGGGAUAAGCGCUGGAAACGGCGUCUAAUACUGGAUACGAGUAGCGACCGCAUGGUCAGUUACUGGAAAGAUUUAUUGGUUGGGGAUGGGCUCGCGGCCUAUCAGCUUGUUGGUGAGGUAAUGGCUCACCAAGGCGUCGACGGGUAGCCGGCCUGAGAGGGUGACCGGCCACACUGGGACUGAGACACGGCCCAGACUCCUACGGGAGGCAGCAGUGGGGAAUAUUGCACAAUGGGCGCAAGCCUGAUGCAGCAACGCCGCGUGAGGGAUGACGGCCUUCGGGUUGUAAACCUCUUUUAGCAGGGAAGAAGCGAAAGUGACGGUACCUGCAGAAAAAGCGCCGGCUAACUACGUGCCAGCAGCCGCGGUAAUACGUAGGGCGCAAGCGUUAUCCGGAAUUAUUGGGCGUAAAGAGCUCGUAGGCGGUUUGUCGCGUCUGCUGUGAAAUCCGGAGGCUCAACCUCCGGCCUGCAGUGGGUACGGGCAGACUAGAGUGCGGUAGGGGAGAUUGGAAUUCCUGGUGUAGCGGUGGAAUGCGCAGAUAUCAGGAGGAACACCGAUGGCGAAGGCAGAUCUCUGGGCCGUAACUGACGCUGAGGAGCGAAAGGGUGGGGAGCAAACAGGCUUAGAUACCCUGGUAGUCCACCCCGUAAACGUUGGGAACUAGUUGUGGGGUCCAUUCCACGGAUUCCGUGACGCAGCUAACGCAUUAAGUUCCCCGCCUGGGGAGUACGGCCGCAAGGCUAAAACUCAAAGGAAUUGACGGGGACCCGCACAAGCGGCGGAGCAUGCGGAUUAAUUCGAUGCAACGCGAAGAACCUUACCAAGGCUUGACAUAUACGAGAACGGGCCAGAAAUGGUCAACUCUUGGACACUCGUAAACAGGUGUGCAUGGUUGUCGUCAGCUCGUGUCGUGAGAUGUUGGGUUAAGUCCCGCAACGAGCGGCAACCCUCGUUCUAUGUUGCCAGCACGUAAUGUGGACUCCUUGGCUACUGCCGGUCACUCCGAGGAAGUGGGAUGACGUCUAAUCAUCAUGCCCCUUAUGCUCUUGGCUUCCACGGCAUGCUAACAUG